AAGAUUUUAAGUUAAAAUAAACUAUUAAUCUUCAAAAUUAAAAAUAUUAUAAAUAUUAUAAAUCUUA
rnacentral:tRNA from 1 species